UGAUCCUGGCUCAGGACGAACGCUGGCGGCGUGCUAAUACAUGCAAGUCGAACGCUUCUUUUCUACCGAGUGCUUGCACUCACUUGAAAAGAGGAGUGGCGGACGGGUGAGUAACACGUGGGUAACCUGCCCAUCAGAGGGGGAUAACACUUGGAAACAGGUGCUAAUACCGCAUAACAGUCGACACCGCAUGGUGUUGAUUUGAAAGACGCUUUCGGGUGUCACUGAUGGAUGGACCCGCGGUGCAUUAGCUAGUUGGUGAGGUAACGGCUCACCAAGGCCAUGAUGCAUAGCCGACCUGAGAGGGUGAUCGGCCACACUGGGACUGAGACACGGCCCAGACUCCUACGGGAGGCAGCAGUAGGGAAUCUUCGGCAAUGGACGAAAGUCUGACCGAGCAACGCCGCGUGAGUGAAGAAGGUUUUCGGAUCGUAAAACUCUGUUGUUAGAGAAGAACAAGUAGGAGAGUAACUGCUCCUACCUUGACGGUAUCUAACCAGAAAGCCACGGCUAACUACGUGCCAGCAGCCGCGGUAAUACGUAGGUGGCAAGCGUUGUCCGGAUUUAUUGGGCGUAAAGCGAGCGCAGGCGGUUUCUUAAGUCUGAUGUGAAAGCCCCCGGCUCAACCGGGGAGGGUCAUUGGAAACUGGGAGACUUGAGUGCAGAAGAGGAGAGUGGAAUUCCAUGUGUAGCGGUGAAAUGCGUAGAUAUAUGGAGGAACACCAGUGGCGAAGGCGACUCUCUGGUCUGUAACUGACGCUGAGGCUCGAAAGCGUGGGGAGCGAACAGGAUUAGAUACCCUGGUAGUCCA
rnacentral:rRNA from 1 species